ACCAUGUUGAAACACCGGUUCCCGUACAAUCACCGAAGUUAAGCAACCUCGAGCUGGUCAGUAUUUAGAUGGGUGACCGUUUGGGAGUACUAGAUGCUGUAA